rnacentral:tRNA from 1 species
GCCCAUGUAGCUCAGCAGGUAGAGCGUCACCUUGGUAAGGUGGAGGUCACCAGUUCAAGCCUGGCCGUGGGCUCCA